UCCAGUUUCAAAAAAAAAAAAAAACACUGGAAAAUGUGUUUCGGAGGGUGAUAGAAAAAUUAUGCUGAUGAUGGAAGGAAAACCCAUCCAAGUGUGAAGUGCAUCAGCAUAAAAAUGUAGAAGAUUUCUUCACGGCUCGCGUCUAUACAUUCUGGCAGGAAAGAAGCGUUGUUUUCCUCGUCUUCUUGGGAAAGCAAAGAAGCGAGCGAAUUAAGAAAUAACAGCAUACUUCCACCAAGAGCCAAAUGAAAUUCAAUUCCGAGCCGAGCAAGAGUGACCAUUAGUCGCUUUUCACAGUCCAAAGAGCAACUGGAAUAGGCAUGAAAUCUCUACCACACAAGAACGGUCCAAAGGUUAGUUAAUUGAAGCCUUUUUCCAGCGAACUGAACCAUAAUUUACAUACGCAAGCCCACGACGAGAAGAGUCGUUCACCGUCAUUCGUUCGUGAUCUGAAUCUAAGUGUUCUGUUUAUAGUUCAAGCGCGAGUUAAAAAUGCACACUUUUUACGACGAGGGCGGGAUUGCACAGAAGAAUGAAAAACGUUGACUGAAUUAAUGUUGUAACACAACACAAACAAACGAGAGCGCUAAAAGUUGGUGAAGGUUCGUCGAGGCUACGAAUUGCAAUGCGGAGUUUAUAAACGUUUUGAAUAAAAAAAAGGUGUUAAUUAUAUUAACAAGUCAUUGUAACACUGCGGGCGCUUGCCGUUUAGCAGAAAAAAAGGUACUCGGAAGCUUUCCAUUCAGCUUCCAAUCUUCUGACUCGUCUUCUGAGAUUAAGUUUCGCGGUCUUCUUUUCUACACCUCCGCCUGUUGUUUAUCGGAGAUGAAGUGAAACCAGUCUGCCAUUAAGAGGGAAAAUAACUAUCUAUUGACAACGGCUAUUCCGUGAUGGGCUGGUGGUGAAAAUUUUCUCUUCUGACAUUCGCGAGUAAAUUGGGAAAAAGGGAAGUCAGCUUAGCCCGACUGCUGGGCAGUGUAGAAAAUCUGAAAAACUAACAUUAGUUGAAACAUUGCAGCUGUUGGAAACAGUGACCCCAAUUGAGCGGUCCUAACGGAAUCUUAUCACCAUUGGAUGUUUGUCGAAGCAACACAACAAGGGCUAAACAACUAACGACCCAGCAGCAGAGUCACAUUAAUAAAUGGAUUCCGAGACAAUAACGACACAAAACUCCCCCACAAUAGAUGAUGUUUUUAUUCAACUACAUACAGUGUUGGAAAGAAAAUAGUGAACAGCAUUACGCAAAAUACACUCACGUAAAAAUAAAAGUGCUCACGGAGAGAGAAAACGAACAAAUCGAUGCAUUUCACUUGGAGAAUGUUGGUAUCAGAGGUAUUGUUUGUCGGUUUGGACGAUCCCAUCAAGUAGUGCUCAGUAAUUUGGCGAAUUCUCAAGGAUACGCAAGAAGAAAAGAGCUCCACGUAAAUCGAAGCUCUCAGACCGAGAUAAGCGAGGAAUAGUUAGAACAGCUUCGAAU